AAACCCUGUUCACAGUCUAUGUGUGUGGUUGCUUAGUAGGGUAAUGCUUGCAGCUGCCUUUAGAAGCAAAUCUGGUGGCCGGGGCAAGACACAAGCAUCGGGAUGAGGCAGGACUGAGCUCCCAGCUCCCACCUGCCUGACUGGGGAGAGGGAGAGAAUACCAGUGAGACCAGACGAUCCAGCAGCAGUGGCUCUGCCCUGGAUUCAAGAAGCUGUGAAUUCCGUAAUGUCACACACUGGCAUGAGAAUAUCGUGUAUUCUUUAAACAGAGUUAUGAAAAGAAAGAAGCUGGUCAGGAGACUAAAACAGGAAUUGUCCUUUUCAAGAGCCGGAACUCCAACAUUCCUUGGCUUCACGGAGAGAAGCACCUGCGAAAAUGUGGGCAAGGCAAGAAGAAUGCCCAUGACCUAACCAGACAGAGCACAGGACAGAACUGCAGGACGGGCGUUCCACUGAAGGCUGCUUAGAAGCCAGAAGGUCUACCCUGCAAAGUCAUCACUAAUGCCCACCCCCACCUCCUGACUGUCCCCCAUCCCGGUCCAAAACCUCCAAAGGACACCCUUGGUAAUGAAUGGGUUAGAUUCGCUGAACUGCAGUGAAAUUCAAAGGCCCAGGCUUACACGAAGCAUUCAAAAGCUAGAAGACAUUUGGCUAGGAUUGUGUUGUUUUCUUUUGUUUUGUUUCAGUCACUGAGCCAAAUCCCUAGUCUGUGUAACUCAGGACACCAAGGUGAAAUGGAAAUCUGGCCUAUAUUUAUAUCUUACAACGAACUUCUCAUUGCGUUGUUCAUUGUGUCCUAUUACUUCUAAUACAUGCUAUAAAAAUAAAAAACAUCAUCAUAAAAAAAAAAAAGCUAGAAGAGAGAGCACCACUUUCAUGUGACAAGGAAUUUCAGAAAUUUGGGCCUUUACUUUAAAUUUGUAAAUUUUAAUGUCAAUUUUCAACUUCACUGAACUUUGUUAUAAACAAGUAAAAUUUCUUUUCCUAAUUUCAAGUAGAUUUAAAGGAAGCUAUGUUAAGGAACUAAGAUACCAUAGACUACUCCCAUUUCGGCCAACUGCAAUAAAUAUAAAUGUAGCCCCUGUUCCCAAAUACUGGAGAAUUCUUUAUUACCCUUAAAAGGCA